rnacentral:rRNA from 1 species
GAUGAACGCUGGCGGCGUGCCUAAUACAUGCAAGUCGAGCGAACGGACGAGAAGCUUGCUUCUCCGAUGUUAGCGGCGGACGGGUGAGUAACACGUGGAUAACCUACCUAUAAGACUGGGAUAACUUCGGGAAACCGGAGCUAAUACCGGAUAAUAUUUUGAACCGCAUGGUUCAAAAGUGAAAGACGGUCUUGCUGUCACUUAUAGAUGGAUCCGCGCUGCAUUAGCUAGUUGGUAAGGUAACGGCUUACCAAGGCAACGAUGCAUAGCCGACCUGAGAGGGUGAUCGGCCACACAGGAACUGAGACACGGUCCAGACUCCUACGGGAGGCAGCAGUAGGGAAUCUUCCGCAAUGGGCGAAAGCCUGACGGAGCAACGCCGCGUGAGUGAUGAAGGUCUUCGGAUCGUAAAACUCUGUUAUUAGGGAAGAACAUAUGUGUAAGUAACUGUGCACAUCUUGACGGUACCUAAUCAGAAAGCCACGGCUAACUACGUG